GUCCAUGGUCUUACCACCCUGAACAUGUCCAAUCUCAUCUGAUCCUAGGAGCUAAGCAGGGUCAGGCCUGGUUAGCACUUGAAUGAGAGAUUUGGGUUAGUUUAGGUAUUUAUCAAUC
ensembl:rRNA 5S_rRNA 5S ribosomal RNA